CACGUAGGGUGCGAGCGUUGUCCGGAAUUAUUGGGCGUAAAGAGCUCGUAGGCGGUGUGUCGCGUCGGCCGUGAAAACCUGUGGCUUAACCAUGGGCUUGCGGUCGAUACGGGCAUCACUGGAGUUCGGCAGGGGAGACUGGAAUUCCUGGUGUAGCGGUGAAAUGCGCAGAUAUCAGGAGGAACACCGGUGGCGAAGGCGGGUCUCUGGGCCGAUACUGACGCUGAGGAGCGAAAGCGUGGGGAGCGAACAGG
rnacentral:rRNA from 1 species